UCAACCAUAGUGUGCUNUGGAAACUGUCUGACUUGAGUGCAGAAGGGGAGAGUGGAAUUCCAUGUGUAGCGGUGAAAUGCGUAGAUAUAUGGAGGAACACCAGUGGCGAAAGCGGCUCUCUGGUCUGUCACUGACGCUGAGGCUCGAAAGCGUGGGUAGCGAACAGGAUUAGAUACCCUGGUAGUNCACGCCGUAAACGAUGAGUGCUAGGUGUUAGGCCCUUUCCGGGGCUUAGUGCCGGAGCUAACGCAAUAAGCACUCCGCCUGGGGAGUACGACCGCAAGGUUGAAACUCAAAGGAUUUGACGGGGGCCCGCACAAGCGGUGGAGCAUGUGGUUUAAUUCGAAGCAACGCGAAGAACCUUACCAGGUCUUGACAUCCCGAUGCUAUUCUUAGAGAUAGGAAGUUACUUCGGUACACCGGAGACAGGUGGUGCAUGGUUGUCGUCAGCUCGUGUCGUGAGAUGUUGGGUUAAGUCCCGCAACGAGUGCAACCCUUAUUGUUAGUUGCCAUCAUUAAGUUGGGCACUCUAGCGAGACUGCCGGUAAUAAACCGGAGGAAGGUGGGGAUGACGUCAAAUCAUCAUGCCCCUUAUGACCUGGGCUACACACGUGCUACAAUGGUCGGUACAACGAGUUGCGAGCCGGUGACGGCAAGCUAAUCUCUGAAAGCCGAUCUCAGUUCGGAUUGGAGGCUGCAACUCGCCUCCAUGAAGUCGGAAUCGCUAGUAAUCGCGGAUCAACACGCCGCGGUGAAUACGUUCCCGGGCCUUGUACACACCGCCCGUCACACCACGAGAGUUUGUAACACCCGAAGUCGNUGAGG
rnacentral:rRNA from 1 species